rnacentral:lncRNA from 1 species
UGUUGUUAUGUGUUGGUUAUGUGUUGAAUAUAAUGUCCUAUAAGCUUCAGUUAGGUCAGGUUAUGUGUUGCUUAAAUCUUUUGUACCUUUACUGAUUUGUGUGAGAGAGUGUGUGUGUGUGUGUGUGUCUGUGUUUGCACGCGCACAUGUGCGUGCGUGCUUGUGCUUGUUUUAUUACUUGCUGAGAGGAUACUACAAACUCAAACAAUUAUUGUAGAUUUAGAAUUACCUUACUUAU